AUUGAACGCUGGCGGCAGGCCUAACACAUGCAAGUCGAGCGAGCGGCGGACGGGUGAGUAAUGUCUGGGAAAGUGCCUGAUGGAGGGGGAUAACUACUGGAAACGGUAGCUAAUACCGCAUACCAUCAGAUGUGCCCAGAUGGGAUUAGCUAGGAGGUGGGGUAAUGGCUCACCUAGGCGACGAUCCCUAGCUGGUCUGAGAGGAUGACCAGCCACACUGGAACUGAGACACGGGCCAGGCUCCUACGGUAGGCAGCAGUGGGGAAGAUUGCCCAAUGGGCGCAAGCCUGAUGCAGCCAUGCCGGGUGUAUGAAGAAGGCCUUCGGGUUGUAAAGCACGUUCAGCGGGGAGGCGUUACUCGCAGAAGAAGCACCGGCUAACUCCGUGCCAGCAGCCGCGGUAAUUC
rnacentral:rRNA from 1 species